GCCUGGGUGGCUCAGUCGGUUGAGCGUCUGACUUCGGCUCAGGUCAUGAUCUCACGGCUGUGAGUGCAAGCCCCACGUUGGGCU
rfam:Felis catus isolate Cinnamon breed Abyssinian chromosome D1, whole genome shotgun sequence.